UAAAUCUUGUUUAGCAUGUCUCGAUUUGGUUUGGUGAUUAUUCAUUGGCUUUGGUUUGGUGAUUAUUCAUUGUCUUGCAUGUCUCGAUUUCUCCUUCGAAAUUGGAGAAGUUAGAGUGCUGCUAUUGUGGGUAUAUUGAUCUCUGAUUCCAAGCUCUUUGGUUAAAGGCGUUCUUCUUCAGCAAACCCUUCAGGCCAUUGUUGCUAUCAUUUUGUUCACGAAAAUCGGACAUGGUCUUCGAUUUCAGGUUUCGAUUGUAAAUUAUGGCGAGAAUUGCAUACCCAUAAAAUUUCGCAGACAGGCCUGCUAGGUGCUUUCGUUAUCAAAAAGCUUUAUUUUGCAAGGCACUGGACAAAUCAUGAGGUUGCUCUUAUGAUGCUCAUGGCAUACCUUUCAUAUAUGCUGGCUGAACUAUUCUAUUAUAGUGGCAUUCUCACUGUAUUCUUUUGUGGGAUUGUGAUGUCAAUAUGGAUGCCUUGGACAUUGAAAAGUGGAAAAUUUUAAGUGAUAGGUAAGCCCUUUGACAUUUACGGAG